ACGAACGCUGGCGGCGUGCUUAACACAUGCAAGUCGAACGGAAAGGCCCUGCUUUUGUGGGGUGCUCGAGUGGCGAACGGGUGAGUAACACGUGAGUAACCUGCCCUUGACUUUGGGAUAACUUCAGGAAACUGGGGCUAAUACCGGAUAGGAGCUCCUGCUGCAUGGUGGGGGUUGGAAAGUUUCGGCGGUUGGGGAUGGACUCGCGGCUUAUCAGCUUGUUGGUGGGGUAGUGGCUUACCAAGGCUUUGACGGGUAGCCGGCCUGAGAGGGUGACCGGCCACAUUGGGACUGAGAUACGGCCCAGACUCCUACGGGAGGCAGCAGUGGGGAAUAUUGCACAAUGGGCGGAAGCCUGAUGCAGCAACGCCGCGUGCGGGAUGACGGCCUUCGGGUUGUAAACCGAUUUCGCCUGUGACGAAGCGUGAGUGACGGUAAUGGGUAAAGAAGCACCGGCUAACUACGUG
rnacentral:rRNA from 1 species